AUUUUAAAUGUUUCCUAUUUUUAAAGAUUUUCUUUUAUUCAUUUUCUUAUUUUUGUUUUUGUUCUCUUUUAAUUUGAAAAUCUGUUUUUAAGUUAGUAUUUAUUUAUUAUUUAUUUUUACUUUAUUUCUGUGUUUUAUGUGUUUCCCAUUUUGGUUUUAAUACUUUUUAUAAGUACAUAUUAUAUAUACCCUCUAUUUAACUUUUUUAUUUGUGAGCAGUUUAAUUGUUUUAUUUCUUUAAAAAAAAUUUUUUUUAUGAUUUUUAUAUUUUUUAACCUUUUUAAUAUUUUUUUCACUAAUUAAAAAUAAAAUAUAUAAAUAAUAUUUGAUCUUCUUCGUAACAGUUUUUCUGUCUUUCCAUAUCUAUUCUGUCUUUUUAGUUUUUAUUUACUAAUCCCUUAUUUUUAUUUAUCCCACUUCUUUAUUUGUUUCAAUCAUUUUUAGUUAUUUUUAAAUUUUCUGUUUUAUUUUUUCUGCAGUUCUGAUUUUAUUUCCUUUUAUUUCUGAUAAUAUUUAGUUUUAGUUUUUAAACUUUUAAAUUCUUAAUUUUUUAUUUUUUAUAUGACUUUUUAUUUUUUAUUUAGUGAAUCAUUUUUAUUUCAACUUCCUUGUUUUAAUUUGUUGUCAUUUUAAAUUCACUUUAUCUAUUUUGUUUUUCUUCUUUUCACUUUAAUUUAAUUUAAUGUUUAUUUUUAUUUCUGCAUUUUGAAUCAUCGUGUCUUCCUCCUUUGUUGUGACAUCACUGGGGGGCGGGACUCUCACCUGUCUGUCAAACGUGCCCUCGUCAGUCAGGUGACAGUUUCCCACAGGCUCCCUCUCCUCUGUUCUCUCCAUCCUUCCUCCUCCUCCUCUUCUUCCUCUCCUUGUUUUGUUCUCUGGGUCGUUCACACCUCUGCCGACACAGACCAGAAACAAAGAGGAGGAGGACACCUGACUCUGUCUUUUGUCCUCAGACUAGGAGAAAGAGAAGCUCUCGGCCUCCUUUCAUCUGUCUCUCUCUCUCUGUGGGUGCUGAAUGUCUCUCGCCCGCUCUCACCUGUCUUCAUGGAGCUGCAGACUGUAUUUAUAUCUGCUGACAACAUCCUGCCUGCUGUCUGACCUCAGAUCUACCCUCCUUUUAUUUUAUGUCUCUCAACAUGAGAGCUGCACCUCCUCCUCCUCCAUGUGAGCAUCUUUCUUUACUGUCCUGUGGUCACAACAAACUGCUGGAAUCUCUUCAGUUAUGCUGAUGUUUGUUUUCAUGAACACUCCGAUGCCGUGCCGCUGAGGAUGAGGAGGCAGUGCAGCUCCUUCCCUCCAUGUUUGGGGAAGGGUGCAGGUGUGACUGUUUCUGCAGGGGGUCAGAAACUACCUGAGAGUGAAAGCAUGGCUGCUGAGGAGUCUCCUGUCUUCUGUGUGGAUUCAGUUUGUCAGACAGGACGAGAGACAUUUACAUAACAAACACAGGGAGAGAGAGAAACCCUGCUUUGGUUUCUGCUGUUUUAUCUUUAAUGUGAAGAAAACGAACCAGAAACAACAUCAGCACGGUCUCUCUCUCUCUCUCUCUCUCUCUCUCUCUCUCACACACACACACACACACACACACACACACACACACACACACAGGACUUCUUGUCAAGCUGAAAUGUGACUUUUCCCCCUGUCAAGAGUACUGAUCACUAAUGACAACCAACAGGAAUAAAUAAAUAAGAUAAAGUGUAAUAAAUGUAUAAUAAAGUAGUGAAGUGGAGCACAGUGAUGCAGAUCUGUGUCAGUAUCAUGUGUGUUUAUUAGCUUUUUUAUAACUGAUGAUCCAGACUUGAGACUGCAGACAGAUUAAAACACAGAAAAUAUUAUUUGUUUAGACUUUUAUUAACUCUGGUUUUAUCAUUUUGUUCAUAUUUUUUUUUAUUUUUAUACAUUUUUUCAGGGGCUGAACUAGAGAAAUUUUCUUAGGAUGGCAUGGAAAUCAAAUGGGUGGCAAAAUUAAAGCCUUUAAAAAAACAGCAACACACAUGCAGGUGUUACAUAUGGUUAAAAGGAUUCAAAUGCAGUAAGUAUACACAUGUUUAAUAUAAAUAUAGUCUAUAACAUAAUUAUUUUCUCUAGCUGACAUGAUUAAACAUCUCAGUUAAAUAAAACAUGUGCAUUUUGAUUUAUGUACUGUAUAGCCUGUAUAAUAAAUAAACAUGUAGCCCAGUAAGUACAAAAUCCAGAAAGCUACACAACACGGGGCGAUUCAUUUACAAACACAAGUCUAACUUAAGUUUCACAUAUUUCUUUAGAAGAAAAAAAAAAGAUGCUUAAAUUCACACAAAAUGUCAUAAACAAAGUUUUAAGCCUAAUUUGUCAGGAUUUGUUGGGUUAACCCUCUGAGGUCCAAAUAUAAUUGGCCAUUUUGACUCCUUUUGAUUUUACUUUUGUAUUUUACCCUUUUCUCCUGGCCUUGCUUGGUAUCAUUCUUUUCAGCUCAACCUCAUGUGUCUGAAUGUAGAUGUCUUUUCACUGACAUGCUGUAUCAAUAGUACUGAUCUGAAAUCACACAAAAAACUUAAAAUCCUAGUAUCAGUUAUGUGUUUUAAUGUACCAACCACAGACAUGUUUAGUAAAUAAUUUUCUGCACAAAUUUUGGUAACAAUAAAGUUAUAUACAACUAUUUAUCUAAACAUGCAGCCAAUGCAUCUUCUGUUUUUUUUUGUACAACAAUUUAAAAAUACAACUAAAACUAAAAUGAGAGAACAAUCAGUUGUCGC
ensembl:lncRNA